UCUACCCUGUCGUGGGGGAUAACGUAGGGAAACUUACGCUAAUACCGCAUACGACCGAGAGGUGAAAGUGGGGGACCGCAAGGCCUCACGCGAUUGGAUGAGCCGAUGCCGGAUUAGCUAGUUGGUGGGGUAAAGGCCCACCAAGGCGACGAUCCGUAGCUGGUCUGAGAGGAUGAUCAGCCACACUGGGACUGAGACACGGCCCAGACUCCUACGGGAGGCAGCAGUGGGGAAUAUUGGACAAUGGGCGCAAGCCUGAUCCAGCCAUGCCGCGUGUGUGAAGAAGGCCUUCGGGUUGUAAAGCACUUUCGUUCGGGAAGAAAUCGUGCGGAUUAAUACUUCGUACGGAUGACGGUACCGAAAGAAUAAGCACCGGCUAACUUCGUGCCAGCAGCCGCGGUAAUACGAAGGGUGCAAGCGUUACUCGGAAUCACUGGGCGUAAAGCGUGCGUAGGCGGUUCGUUAAGUCUGCUGUGAAAGCCCUGGGCUCAACCUGGG
rnacentral:rRNA from 1 species